rnacentral:lncRNA from 10 species
GGGUUCCGCUUGACUCUGCAUUCUCCUACUUCCCUGCCUGCUUACUCUCUGCCAUCAUAGUUUUUUGCUUCAACCUUCAAAUGUAGCCAUUCUUUUUCUAAAGCGCUUUCAUCGUAGCUUCAGGUGGUGUAUAUGCAGGCUGUGAUGGAGGAGAAGCUACCCCUCAGCACAGGAUUUUGGUAGAAUAAGAAUAAAAAUGACAAGUCCCUUCCUGAAAAGCUCUUCAUUGUCUCUUGAAAACGGUCUGUGAAAGUGCCAAACCACCAGCUCUCCAGAUGUGGCUGAAUAUCAAGGAAAAUAUCUUACGUGCAAGGAAUAAAAAUGCCAGAUGAAGGCAUCCUCACAUGGUGGAAGGGACAGAAGGCAAAAAAGGGAGGAACACUGUGUCCUCACAUGGCAGAAGAGCAGAAGAGAAUGAACUCAUUCCCUCAAGCCCUGCUAGAAGGGCACUACUCUCAUCCACUAGGACUCCAACCUCACAGCUUCAUCACCUCUUAAAAGCCCCACCUCUUCAUACUAUCAGUUGAUUAUUAAAUUCCAACAUCUGAAUGUUGGAGGACACAUCCAGACCGUAGCAUCCCUCAAAAAAAGAAUAAAGAUGUUCCAUAG